AGCUAUGUGCACUAAUACAUAGUUAUUUCUGCUCCAUGAUUAUUAAAUAGCCGCAGUACCUUGACUGUGCAAAGGUAGCAUAAUCAGUUGGCUUUUAAUUGGAGUCUGGUAUGAACGAAAAUAUGGGUAGCUACUGUCUAAAUAUAUUUUUCCUAACUUUUUAAUCAAGUGAAAAUACUUGUACUAAUAAAAAAGACGAGAAGACCCUAGAAACUUGGAAAGUUUUUUGUUGGGGCGACAGAGUUACAUGAAACUAAUUUUAUAGAACAUGACAUUAGUUAGAAAGAAUAAGUUACUCUAGGGAUAACAGCAUAAUUUUAAUAGUUUGUGACCUCGAUGUUGGACUAGGUACUUUGCCCUUUAGGCAAGGGUAUAAGACGCUCUGUUCGAGCAAACACACCUACAU
rnacentral:rRNA from 1 species